rnacentral:rRNA from 1 species
GGUUAAGUUAGAAAGGGCGCACGGUGGAUGCCUUGGCACUAGGAGCCGAAGAAGGACGGGACUAACACCGAUAUGCUUUGGGGAGCUGUACGUAAGCGUUGAUCCAGAGAUUUCCGAAUGGGGGAACCCACUAUCUUUAGUCGGAUAGUAUCCUUACGUGAAUACAUAGCGUGAGGAAGGCAGACCCAGGGAACUGAAACAUCUAAGUACCUGGAGGAAGAGAAAGAAAAAUCGAUUUCCUGAGUAGCGGCGAGCGAAACGGAAAGAGCCCAAACCAAGAAGCUUGCUUCUUGGGGUUGUAGGACACUCUAUACGGAGUUACAAAAGAAAGUUAUAAAUGAAGCGGUCUGGAAAGGCCCGCCAAAGACGGUAACAGCCCGGUAGUUGAAAUAGCUUUCCCUCCAGAGUGGAUCCUGAGUACGGCGGAACACGUGAAAUUCCGUCGGAAUCCGGGAGGACCAUCUCCCAAGGCUAAAUACUCCCUAGUGACCGAUAGUGAACCAGUACCGUGAGGGAAAGGUGAAAAGCACCCCGGAAGGGGAGUGAAACAGUUCCUGAAACCGUGUGCCUACAAGUAGUUAGAGCCCGUUAAUGGGUGAUAGCGUGCCUUUUGUAGAAUGAACCGGCGAGUUACGAUUUGUUGCAAGGUUAAGCGGAAAAAGCGGAGCCGUAGCGAAAGCGAGUCUGAAUAGGGCGCAUAAGUAACAGGUCGUAGACCCGAAACCAGGUGAUCUACCCAUGUCCAGGAUGAAGGUAAGGUAAUACUUACUGGAGGUCCGAACCCACGCACGUUGAAAAGUGCGGGGAUGAGGUGUGGGUAGCGGAGAAAUUCCAAUCGAACUUGGAGAUAGCUGGUUCUCUCCGAAAUAGCUUUAGGGCUAGCCUCGAGGUAAAGAGUCAUGGAGGUAGAGCACUGUUUGGACUAGGGGCCCUUCUCGGGUUACCGAAUUCAGAUAAACUCCGAAUGCCAUGUACUUAUACUCGGGAGUCAGACUGCGAGUGAUAAGAUCCGUAGUCGAAAGGGAAACAGCCCAGACCACCAGUUAAGGUCCCCAAAUAU